AAUAUUGGACAAUGGGGGCAACCCUGAUCCAGCCAUGCCGCGUGUGGGAAGAAGGUCUUCGGUUUGUAAAGCACUUUAAGGUGGGAGGAAGGGCUUUAGGCUAAUACCCUGAAGUUUUGACGUUACCAACAGAAUAAGCACCGGAUAACUCUGUGCUCGCAGCCGCGGUAAUACAGAGGGUGAAAGCGUUAAUCGGAAUUACUGGGCGUAAAGCGCGCGUAGGUGGUUCAGUCAGCUGGGUGUGAAAUCCCCGGGCUUAACCUGGGAACUGCUUUCAUAACUGCUGAGCUAGAGUACGGUAGAGGGUAGUGGAAUUUCCUGUGUAGCGGUGAAAUGCGUAGAUAUAGGAAGUAACACCAGUGGCGAAGGCGACUACCUGGACUGAUACUGACACUGAGGUGCGAAAGCGUGGGGAGCAAAC
rnacentral:rRNA from 1 species